CGGCACGUAGCGCAGCCUGGUAGCGCACCGUCAUGGGGUGUCGGGGGUCGGUGGUUCAAGUCCACUCAGGCCUACCA
rnacentral:tRNA from 5 species